CCCUUAGAUGUCCUGGGCCGCACGCGUGCUACACUGAUGCAUACAGCGAGUACUUUCCAGCUCCGCGAGGCAGCUGGUAAUCAGCAAUAUGCAUCGUGCUGGGGAUAGAUCUUUGGAAUUAUAGAUCUUGAACGAGGAAUUCCUAGUAAGCGCAAGUCAUUAGCUUGCGCUGAUUAAGUCCCUGCCCUUUGUACGCACCGCCCGUCGCUCCUACCGAUUUCGAGUGAUUCGGUGAACCUUUUGGACAGCGUCUGUCCUCGUGUCAGAUGCUGAAAGUCAAGUAAACCAUAUCACUUAGAGGAAGGAGAAGUCGUAACA
rnacentral:rRNA from 1 species